rnacentral:rRNA from 1 species
GAGUUUGAUCGUGGCUCAGAUUGAACGCUGGCGGCAUGCCUUACACAUGCAAGUCGAACGGCAGCACGGGAGCUUGCUCCUGGUGGCGAGUGGCGAACGGGUGAGUAAUGCAUCGGAACGUAUCCUGGAGUGGGGGAUAACGUAGCGAAAGUUACGCUAAUACCGCAUAUUCUGUGAGCAGGAAAGCGGGGGACCUUCGGGCCUCGCGCUCUUGGAGCGGCCGAUGUCGGAUUAGCUAGUUGGUGAGGUAAAGGCUACACCAAGGCGACGAUCCGUAGCAGGUCUGAGAGGAUGAUCUGCCACACUGGAACUGAGACACGGUCCAGACUCCUACGGGAGGCAGCAGUGGGGAAUUUUGGACAAUGGGGGCAACCCUCGAUCCAGCCAUGCCGCGUGAGUGAAGAAGGA